GCCCGGUCGCCCACAGUUACUGAGACCAAGUACCGUCUCACACACAAAACCACGUAAAACGCGGCUACACAAGCAAUUCCCGCGCCCCUUCCUCCGCGCGCUUCCGCCCAGUCAUUCCGGACCCCUCACCUGGAAAGACCGUGCAGUUCAGGGUCUAGAACGCGGCGGUCCGAUCAAAACUCGGUUCCGCUCCGCCAGCCCAGCGGGAUCGGAACUAAAAAUCAACCUCAGGAGACCUUCUCCUGUCGCGAUGCCCCAAAACUCGCGAACCAACGGAAACGAACCCGCGUUCGGUUCGCGGGCCCUCUGGGAAAUGUAGUCCAGCGCCCGAACGGCCCGGGCGAGGAGCCCGCAGACCAGGACGACUAGUCUGCUCCCCGGGACCCGCUUCCGGAUGCCGCCUGGCCCACGGCGACCACGGUUCACGCCGGGGGUUUGCGUCCGCGCUCAGUGUGCAGGUGUGGUGGGCGCACUUGUGCUGGCGGUUAUACGUGGACGGGGCGAACAGUGAAUUGACUCCAGGUUCUCGGGGUGACCUGAAAGAGGAGGAAGCAGCCUUUGGUCACCGAGAGAACCUGGUACCAAAGCACUGCCCGCCCCAUCAAGGGCCAAGCCCCCGAGCAGCGCGCGCACGACACCUGCACCUGCGCACUGAGCGCCGAAGCAAACUCCCGGAAGGACCCCGCGCGUCGCAGUUGGGGCGGGCAGCUUCCGGAAGGCGGUCCUGGGUGGGACGCUGCACCUUCUGCUCUCCAGGCUGGCUCGACCUUCUUGGCGAGGGACUACGUUUCCCAGAGGGACAGCGUCCGGAAUGGCUUUAUUUCCUUUUCUUCGCAAGAUUUGGGGGUCUCCGGUAG
rnacentral:lncRNA from 1 species